CAGCAACAUCCUCCGAACAAACGACGGGUAGAUCUUAAAAUAUCUGAAAGUUAUGGCUCGAAGGAAAAAUCUGUUCUCGGGUCCAUGCAUUCAUUGGAUUGUUAUGGUGCCUAGUUUUUUAGGAAAUCGGGUUAUCAU